rnacentral:rRNA from 1 species
AGGAGAGUGGAAUUCCCGGUGUAGUGCUGGAAUGCGUAGAUAUCGGGAGGAACACCAGUGGCGAAGGCGGCUCUCUAGGUCACACCUGACGCUGAGGUGCGAAAGCGUGGGGAGCGAACGGGAUUAGAUACCCCGGUAGUCCACGCUGUAAACGAUGGAUACUAGGUGUGGGAGGUUAUUUACCCCUUCUGUGCCGUAGCUAACGCGUUAAGUAUCCCGCCUGGGGACUACGGCCGCAAGGUUAAAACUCAAAGGAACUGACGGGGGCCCGCACAAGCAGCGGAGCGUGUGGUUUAAUUCGAUGAUACGCGAAGAACCUUACCUGGGCUUGACAUGGUGGUAGUAGUGAAGCGAAAGCGGAACGACCCUUCGGGGAGCCAUCACAGGUGCUGCAUGGCUGUCGUCAGCUCGUGUCGUGAGAUGUUGGGUUAAGUCCCGCAACGAGCGCAACCCUCGUCGCUAGUUAUAUGUGUCUAGUGAGACUGCCGGUAUCAAACCGGAGGAAGGUGGGGAUGACGUCAAGUCGGCAUGGUCUUUAUGUCCAGGGCUACACACACGCUACAAUGGCCGGUGCAAUGGGUUGCCAUACCGCGAGGUGGAGCUAAUCCUCAAAGCCGGUCUCAGUUCGGAUUGCAGUCUGCAACUCGACUGCAUGAAGGUGGAGUUGCUAGUAACCGCGCGUCAGCAAUAGUGCGGUGAAUGCGUUCCCGGGCCUUGUACACACCGCCCGUCACAUCAUGGGAGUCGGCAACACCUGAAGUCGGUGACCAAACCGAAAGG